UACGUAGGGUGCAAGCGUUGUCCGGAAUUAUUGGGCGUAAAGAGCUCGUAGGCGGUCUGUCGCGUCUGCUGUGAAAACUCAGGGCUUAACCCUGAGCUUGCAGUGGGUACGGGCAGACUAGAGUGCGGUAGGGGAGACUGGAAUUCCUGGUGUAGCGGUGAAAGUGCGCAGAUAUCAGGAGGAACACCGGUGGCGAAGGCGGGUCUCUGGGCCGUAACUGACGCUGGAGGAGCGGAAAGCAUGGGGAGCGAACAG
rnacentral:rRNA from 1 species